rnacentral:rRNA from 1 species
UACGUAGGACCCAAGCGUUAUUCGGAUUGACUGGGCGUAAAGAGUUGCGUAGGUGGUUUGUUAAGCGAAUAGUGAAAUCUUGUGGCUCAACCAUAAGGCUAUUAUUCGAACUGGCAAACUCGAGAGCAGAAGAGGUAUCUGGAAUUCCCAGUGUAGGAGUGAAAUCCGUAGAUAUUGGGAGGAACACCAAUGGCGUAGGCAGGAUACUGGUCUGUUUCUGACACUGAGGCACGAAAGCGUGGGGAGCGAACGGG